CUGUUUGACAAAAGAAAGUCAGUUACUUCCAGAAUGAAUGAGUGUUAUAAACACCAUUGAUACCUAGUUUCUUUAAAGAGGUAAAAAUCUUUACCAACUAUAUCUUUAUAAAUUGUUUUUAAGAAGAGAGCCAAGGACUCAAGGCUAGCUAGGCUCAUCACCAAAAAAAAGUUAUAGCUAAAAACCAAAUUUCGUAGAAAAACGUGGUAAAAAAGGCAAUUCUGGAAGCUGCAUUAUUUGGUCUUCCUGAUUAGUAUAUUUAUAUAUUAAAAAGAAUGGUCCUCCCCUCUCACCUAAGGAGACAGACAGAACCAUUUGUUUUCUUUAGGCACCAUUCUUCACAAUAUAAAAAAGCUAACCAGUAAACAAUACAAGAAAAUAAAUUAUUUUUGGACAACCACAAAAUCCUACGGAGAUCUGGCAUUGUUAAAGCUCAAAGUGUUAAACUAUGGAUCCAUAUCAGAAUCCCAGCCCGAAAGGGUACCAGAGACAGAGGCCAUUUGGCUCAGCCGGUGAAGGUGGCAGCAGCGGCGGCUCCGAUAUACCCCGUGAAAUAGAUGACAAUAAGAAGAAAAAGAAGCUUCUCCACCGCGACAUCGAACGCCAGAGAAGACAAGAGAUGGCUACACUCUUUGCUUCGCUUCGUUCUCACCUACCUCUCCAAUACGUUAAGGGGAAGAGAGCUGUUUCGGAUCAUGUAAACGGAGCGGUGAAUUUCAUUAAGGACACGGAAACACGGAUUAAAGAACUUAGUGCAAGACGAGACGAACUAAGCAGAGAAACAUGUCAGACAUAUAAAUCGAGUCCGGAUCCAGCAAGAACUGGAUCCGAGUUAGGCAAAUCGUAUCCGGCGAGUGUGAUGGUGCAACCAUGCGUGAGCGGUUUCGAAGUGGCGGUGAGCAGCAACUCGUCAGGUCCCGAAGCUUUGCCACUCUCAAGAGUGCUUGAGACACUUCAGGAACUAGGACUUGAAGUCAUCAGCUGUCUCACCACAAGAGUUAAUGAGAGGCUCAUGCACACUAUUCAAGUCGAGGUUAAUAGUUUUGGAUGCUUGGAUUUAGCUUGGUUGCAGCAGAAGCUAGUUGAGGAGUUGAUACUUUAGACGGGGUACUACAAUACUUAAUAAUCAUAAAAUUUGUAGUCCUAAAGACUUGUUCAUCGUAUGAUCUCUCUCUUCCAAAAGAACUCUUAAUUUUAUAUGUUGGUUUGAAUUUUUAACCCAAUAUAAACUCAUUUCCAAUUUAUUUUCUUUAUAUAGAUUUGGUAUUGAAGCUUGUUAGUUGCUCCAAUAGAAAUAUCUAAAGCAUUCAUGAAACUUCAUCUUGGAAAGCUGGCCAUGAAAUAUACUCUUGGAUGGAGGCAUAGCUUCGGUUUAAACAAAUUCAAGUGCGUAUUGCAGUUUUUUUUUUAAUAAGUGCGUAUUGCAGUUAUGUUUCAAAAGGAUUUUAUGCAUGGGUAGGUCAUAAAGUUCACCAUCAUUCAACGCAGACACCGUAAAGACUGAGGUUGUGAUGUUUGCAAUAGAUCAUUUUUCUCACAAUAAGGUUUUGUGUGUUUGCUUUACAUUUGCUUCUUAUCAGCUCCAAAUUUCAGCUAUCAGGUUUCCCUUUCAUUAUUAGCAUCUUUUGUGCUAUUUCAUUGUUAUGUGUUCAUGCGGGUUUUUAGUAUGUAUAUAAGGUUUUAUAUGAUAUAUAUAAACUGAGAAGGAACAACCGCUA